AGAUUGAACGCUGGCGGAAUGCUUUACACAUGCAAGUCGAACGGCAGCACGGGGGCAACCCUGGUGGCGAGUGGCGAACGGGUGAGUAAUACAUCGGAACGUGCCCAGUCGUGGGGGAUAACUACGCGAAAGCGUAGCUAAUACCGCAUACGAUCUACGGAUGAAAGCGGGGGAUCGCAAGACCUCGCGCGAUUGGAGCGGCCGAUGGCAGAUUAGGUAGUUGGUGGGGUAAAGGCUCACCAAGCCGUCGAUCUGUAGCUGGUCUGAGAGGACGACCAGCCACACUGGGACUGAGACACGGCCCAGACUCCUACGGGAGCAGCAGUGGGAAUUUUGGACAAUGGGCGCAAGCCUGAUCCAGCCAUUCCGCGUGCAGGAUGAACGGCCCUUGGGUUAGUAAACGUUGUCUUUUAGUAACCGGAACGUAAAACGUCCUUUACUUACUAAUACGAGGAGGUCAUGAACGGUACGUAAGAAUAAGCGACCGACUAACUCGU
rnacentral:rRNA from 1 species